GAAUCCGCUAAGGAGUGUGUAAGAACUCACCUGCCGAAUGAAUUAGCCCUGAAAAUGGAUGGCGCUCAAGCGGGCAGCCGACACUGCACCAUUUAAGCUAUUUAUGUCUUAAAUGAGUAGGAGGAACGUGGCGGUUGUACAGAAGCGUAUCCGCAAGGAUGCGUGGAACGGCCGCUAGUGCAGAUCUUGGUGGUAGUAGCAAAUAUUCAAAUGAGAUCCUUGAAGGACCAAGCGGGGAAGGGUUCCACACGAACAUUGCUUGAGUGUGGGUUAGUCGGUCCUAAGCCAUCUGGCAAUUGCUAGAUACUGGCGAAAGGGAAGCAGGUAAAGAUUCCUGCACCUAGGUAUAGAUGUUUACACGUCCGAGUUGUCUCAGAGAAGCUGUGGUUGUAGUCCCCUUGCAGAGAUUUCUUUUCUGUUUGACGCCAUUACGGUCCUGAAACCCAUUUGCUGGGAGUAGGGACCGAUUCCAUUGAUGGUAGAGCAUAGGAUUUCUUUCCUAUGUUUGGGUUGAUUCCUGCAGACCUUGAAAAUCUGAGCGCACCUGUAUUUGCUUUUAGCUUUGCAGGGGGCGAUUCUAUCCUAGCCCGUACCCAUGACCGCAUCAGGUCCCCAAGGUGAACAGCCUCUGUCCAAUAUGAAUAAUGCAGGUAAGGGAAGUCGGCA
rnacentral:rRNA from 1 species